CCUACGGGGGGCAGCAGUGGGGGAUAUUGCACAAUGGGGGGAACCCUGAUGCAGCGACGCCGCGUGGGUGAAGGAGUAUUUCGGUAUGUAAAGCCCUAUCGGCAGGGAAGAAAUUGGACGGUACCUGACUAAGAAGCCCCGGCUAACUACGUGCCAGCAGCCGCGGUAAUACGUAGGGGGCAAGCGUUAUCCGGAUUCACUGGGUGUAAAGGGAGCGUAGACGGCCAUGCAAGCCAGGGGUGAAAGCCCGGGGCCCAACCCCGGGACUGCCCUUGGAACUGCAUGGCUGGAGUGCGGGAGGGGCAGGCGGAAGGCCUGGUGUAGCGGUGAAAUGCGUAGAUAUCAGGAGGAACACCGGCGGCGAAGGCGGCCUGCUGGACCGCGACUGACGUUGAGGCUCGAAAGCGUGGGGAGCGAACAGGAUUAGAUACCCCAGUAGUC
rnacentral:rRNA from 1 species